rnacentral:tRNA from 1 species
GGCCUUGAAGUGCGAUCACGUUGGACUGCAAACCCAGAAAAGCAGGUUAACGUCUGCCGGGGCUU